GGAUGUUGCGAUGGCUGAUCGGGGGAGGCCGAGAACCGCAGGGACUGGCCGAGAAAUCUCCUUUACAGACAAUAGGUGAAGAACAAACCCAGAAUCCCUACACUGAACUGCUAGUACUGAAGGCUCAUCAUGAUAUUGUACGAUUUCUGGUACAGUUAGAUGACUACAGAUUUGCAUCUGCUGGUGAUGAUGGAAUUGUAGUUGUGUGGAAUGCCCAGACAGGGGAAAAACUUUUAGAACUGAAUGGACACACUCAAAAGAUAACAGCUAUUAUUACAUUUUCUUCCUUGGGAUCUUGUGAAGAAAAAAAUCAACUCAUCUUGACAGCCUCUGCUGAUAGAACAGUUAUUGUGUGGGAUGGUGAUACUGCCAGACAAGUUCAGAGAAUAUCAUGCUUCCAGUCUACUGUAAAGGUAAAAUCUUAAGUAAAUAUGAGUUUUUAUGGCAAUCUAUUUUUGUCUCAGAAGACAUGGUUUAAAAAGUUAGACAAAAUUACUUUUGUGGGUCUUAUGAAUUAUUUUUUUCCACACACUUGUAGUCAUUUGCUUCGUGUAAGAUCAGAUUUUUGAGAGCACAUGUAUUAAGUGUUAGAAUGUUUCAAUUUGAAAUUAGAGCA
rnacentral:sRNA from 1 species